UGGAAUGAAGAGAUUUAUUAAUCUUCACUGGUCACAUGUUCCUGAUCCUGAACUGUUUUAUCAUGAUGAGGGUUAUUAUAUAGUUAAAUUUAGUUCCAUUGAAGAUGCUAAGGAAAUUCUGUGUGGAGGGCCUUAUUCUAUUGCCAACAGACCUAUGAUUGUGAAGCAAUGGUCUGUGGAUUUUGAUUUCAAGGCAGCUUUCCCUUCAGAAAUUCCUUUAUGGAUAAAGUUUCCUAACUUACCUAUGUCUUGUUGGGGCAGCAAGUCUUUAAGUAGAAUUGCUAGUGUCCUUGGUAAACCUAUAUUUGCUGAUGAGUGUACUACUAAAUAAUCCAGAAUCUCUUAUGCUCGUAUGCUCAUUGAGGUAAAUGUGUCAAAAAAGUUACCUAGUGAAAUAGAGAUUCUAGAUCCAAAUGGAAAGAGUUUCACAGAAAUUCCUUUAUGGAUAAAGUUUCCUAACUUACCUAUGUCUUGUUGGGGCAGCAAGUCUUUAAGUAGAAUUGCUAGUGUCCUUGGUAAACCUAUAUUUGCUGAUGAGUGUACUACUAAAUAAUCCAGAAUCUCUUAUGCUCGUAUGCUCAUUGAGGUAAAUGUGUCAAAAAAGUUACCUAGUGAAAUAGAUAUUCUAGAUCCAAAUGGAAAGAGUUUCAUACAGGAUGUGAUCUAUGAGUGGAAACAUAUGUAUUGUGAGAAAUGUUUGGAGGUUGGACACAACUGUUUAACUAAAACUGCUCAAGCUACACAGAAAAGUAAGGUGACACAAGAAUGGAGAGUGAAAGCACCAGGUACAGCAGUCCAAAACAACCAGAUGCCUCACAUCCAGUGUCAAGAGGUAAUUAAGGAGCCAAGCAUUACAGCUACAGCUGAUAUUGGGAACAGACAGAAGCAGGUUGUUCAAGACUCUCCAGUCUUCAACAUUGCUAAUUUUCCUCCUUUAUUAAACUGUCCUAUGAUUUUGUAAGGCAUCCUUUUGGUGAUUAAUAAAAAUUUAAUUACCAAAAAAAAAAAAA
rnacentral:lncRNA from 1 species